CACCAUGGGAGUCGUUUGCUCCAGAAAUGCCUGAGCUAACGCCAAACGCAAGAAUGGCGAGGCAGGGUCUCAAGGAGUGAACGGUAACUGGGGUG
rnacentral:rRNA from 1 species